AUGCAGCGGGGGCGCGGCUCCUGUUCAGGAAGGCCUGGCUUGGGUGUUGCUACGGCUUGUGUACCUGGGGUCUUUUCAAAUGUGUGCUCAACAGAAAUAGGGCAGGACGCCUUGCUGAUGGGAACAGCCCCACACUGCCCCCGGGGAGGCGGCGCGCCGUGCAGUGCUGUGGAAAACCAGGUAAGUUUGGAGCCAGCCGACCUGAGCUCAAAUCCUGACUUUGCCAUUUCCAAACAUGGACCCCGCCUCGACAUCCCUGCCUCAGUUUCCUCAUCCCGAGAACGGGUACCAACACCCCAGAAAGAGGAGAGUCGCAAAGACACUCUUGCCCAGGGCUCUCGCGGGAGAAGAGCAGCAGUCCUGGGUCGGGUGAACCUUUACCACCGGACUCUCCCCGCGGGGCAGCGCCUCGGCCUUGGCCAGUGGGAAGGAAGAGGGAGGAGGGAGGCCCCGAGGAACACCCUCGUCAUUCCACGCUCGCGCACGGACGCAACCGCUGCUUCCCGAAGCUCCCCUCCUGCCUGGCGGGGGCGGGGGGGGCGGGGGGGGGGCUCCUUCCUUGUGGACUUCGGAAACGGUCACCCGGACCCGGAUCAGAGUCUGCCCCUGACGCUCCUGCGGCUGGGCCAGGAGGCCUGCAAAGAAGAAUGGUGGGCUUGGAAUCGGCCCACAGCUCGUCCUGGAAAAGACCAAGACCACCCCUGUCCGCCGCCUCUGGCUGGUCUACCCCAAGUGACUUCGCUUCUCGUCCACACCAUGGCGAUGCCAACAAAGGCACCAAGGAAGCCAGACUCGAAUGACAUGGAUACGUCACCGGAACACUCAGUGCCACGAGGACACCCCUUUCCUGGACGGCUCAGGUCAGGCUCGCCCCGACCUCCUCCCUCUCCUGGCUCCUCCGGCACAGAGCGUGCUUUCUCGUGGCCCCCAGUCUUAGCUGGGAGUGGGCCUGCAGGCCACUGUCACAGAAGGGAGAAGGGGAGGUUGCCAGCAGAGCAGACCGGAGCCACCACCUCCACACAGCACACAGUGUGCUGCUCCCUGGAACCUGGACAGCCGCGGACUCAGAGGAAAACACUGCACCAGUGGCAAAGCCACUCUUGUUCUUGUUCGCAGGCCCCGAGUACGUUACCCCCGGUGAGGUCAAGUACAAACCACUUGCCCCAGGAAUGCCUCUUAGACACAAUCCAGGUUGUCCAUGCCAUCUAG
rnacentral:lncRNA from 1 species